rnacentral:misc_RNA from 1 species
GAUGAAGAACGUAGCAAAAUGCGAUACUUGGUGUGAAUUGCAGAAUCCCGUGAACCAUCGAGUUUUUGAACGCAAGUUGCGCCCGAAGCCUUUUGGCCGAGGGCACGUCUGCCUGGGCGUCAUGCAUCGCGUCGCCCCCCACAAAUUCUCCGUCAGGGGAGCUUGUGUUUCGGGGGCGGAUACUGGUCUCCCGUGCUCAUGGCGCGGUUGGCCGAAAUAGGAGUCCCUUCGAUGGACGCACGAACUAGUGGUGGUCGUAAAAACCCUCGUCUUUUGUUUCGUGCCGUUAGUCGCGAGGGAAGCUCUUCAAAAACCCCAACGCGUCGUCUCUUGACGGCGCUUCGACCGCGACCCCAGGUCAGGCGGGACUACCCGCUGAGUUUAAGCAUAUCAAUAAGCGGAGGA